rnacentral:lncRNA from 1 species
UCACUGCAUCAAUCAUUUGAAUCAACUGACGAGCAACUACAAUAUGGGCAACCACCAAUCUCUUUUGGCAGUAACAAAGCAUUAAUUCAAGAAAACAUGAGGAAGAUUGUCAUUAACUCAAAAUUCUGGAAAGACCAACGAGAGUAUGAUGACGAUGAGGGAUGGGGAGUCGGUUUUGCUGGUUUUUCAACUGAAGAAGACGAUCAAGAAACUGAUCGGGAUAGUGCAGGAGAGGACAUUGACGCUCCAAUCAAACAAAAAUUCAAUGGGAGACCUGCAUCAUCAAAACAGACCAAUCUGAAUUUGCGUACAUCUGCGGCAAAUACAGCAAGUCCAAUCAGCAAGUGGAACCAUAACGCUCCAGUUUUUCUGCUAACAAAUACUGUAAAAGCAGUUAGUUCAAAUACAGCAAUACCAAAGUUCGACUAUAUAGCAACAGGAAUUCACAUCCAACCAGACCAAAAUUCAGUAAACAAAAAUGCUUCUGCUCGACAAAAUACUGGACAGAAUCUUUUUGUCACAAAUGAACCAGCAAGUAUUUUAGAACAGAGGAAUCAUGUCGAUGGAACGAGCCAACCUUUGGAUUCAAGUCAUAGUUCUGAACAGCAGCAAGAGGAUGAACGACACUUCGUAACAAAUAACCCUCUAUUCUCUUCAGAAGAAAGACAUCUUUUGGAUGCGAAGAUAAAUACAGAUGCUCUAGCCCUUGAUAAUUCCAGUUCAAGCCGUGCAAACAUGAGUAGGAACAAAUCACUAAAACAAAUGCAAAACAAGGCAAUUUCGGCAAAUGUACAAGCUGAAACAACAUUGCUAACUCAAGGCGAUUUUCAAGAUAUGCCAAAUCCAAUUUUAACAAGUAGAUAUAUGUAUGAAGAAGGAGAGGAAGAGGAUAUCUUACAGAAAUGCUUGGCAGACGCUUCAAAAAAUGGUGAUUUAUCACCAUUGCAUAGUGGAAAAAGUAUCAACUCGAGUGCAAGGAAUGGAAGUUGGGACGAUAAGGUGAGAGAAGGCGAUUUAAUAAGGAGACCCCCAAUGAGAAACGCAAAACAAAAACAACUCAAUCAAACNNNNNNNNNNNNNNNNNNNNNNNNNNNNNNNNNNNNNNNNNNUGUGAGAGAAAUGCAAAACAAAAACAGCUCAAUCAAUCAAAGGCCAAUCGUUUGAUAAAAAAACCAUGAACUUUGAAGUAUUUUUGAAAAAUAUUGUGGAGGAAGAUAACAAUCUACAAAUGGAAGUAUUCACAAAUCUAGAAAAAAGAGAACACCAAGGUGGUUUCUUCAUUUCAUUAUUUUACCAUCACAUUAGUAUCAUAAAUUGUAAUAUCAUUACGGAGUACGUUAUAAACUCUGUGAUGAUUAACAAAUUCCUAGUUCUUCCCAGUUCUUUCUUUUUACAUGCUUGCUAAUAGGUGAGGCUUUUAUUUGCCUCAAUAGGAUUAUUAGGAUAAGGUUUACACUGGUUGUGUUAUAUGGGUAACAACACCGGUGCUAAUCCCUAUUUUAAUUUUCCAAAUUGUUGUUAUUUUCUUUUUGAAUAUUAAUAAAGUCGAGUCCUAGGCACUUGCCUAGUGGAUUGUCCAAAAAAAAUUACAUGGAAAAGGUUUGGGCCACCCAGGUCUGGCCCAAUUGUGGCCAACCUGGGUGGCUGUAUAUAAAGGUAUAUAUUUUGUUUUGGUUUCUUUCUUAUCUUUUUUAUUAUUUAACUCUUAAUUCUAGUUUAAAAUUCCUAAUUAACACAAACAAAAUGCAACAAAUUAAAAUAAAGAUGAUUAAAAUUGCAAAAAUACUAUUUGCAUAUAUAUAUUUUGGAAUUUUUUUUUAAAUAAACGUAAUUAUCAAUUAUUUCAGCAAAACCAAGAAUUAAAUCAUAAAUGAUUUUAAACAUACAUUAAUGCAAACACACAGGCAUACACAAUUAAAUUCAAAAUUUAAAUCCAAAAAUAAAUAUUAAAAGGAAAAUCCUAAACCUGAGAGUCCUAUAGGAGUCAUCUUAACAGGCAAAAGCACACGCUCACAAGUAGCUAAACAAUUGAUCUAUGGUUGAUGGAACCAAUUGUUGGUUGAAGUUUUGACUCAACUUGUUAUAAUCAAGCCAUAUUUAUUAUAUGAUUGUUCAACCACAUUUUGUGUGCUGAUUUGUUGAGUGGUCCAUUGAUUAAUCGUGUCUAUUUUCCUUAUAUUGCUUGAGUAAAAAUAUUAGGUUACAGUGUUGUUGAACAACACCACAUUUAGGUAAUCAAAGAGAUUCAUUACUUGAACUUAAAAGUGGGCUUAGAGAUAACGAAACAUUGGUAGGAUAAUUUAGCGCUGCAUAUAUUGUUAGCUAGAGCAGUUCGAGAGAAUGCUCUAGUACAUUACCAUAGUUGAUCGAGAGAUAAUUAUGAUAACCUAUAGCUCCUAAUCCUCAUAGAGUAUUAUGGAUAUAUUAUAGCAAAGAGUUAAGACCUAAACUAACAAUUGGGGAAAUACCCUAGACCUUUCUUACCAUUAAGAUAUCUCUGAUUUAGAAAAAAAGUUAUUUUUUAGUAUCAUUUGAAGUAGUUAAACGAAAAACACAAGUUUUAUUGAUAAAAAAUCUUGGAUCUACAAAUUGGUUGAACUGAUAAUAACAUCGCCAAGAGUUGUAAUAGAUAGCUUAGUUCCCUUAGGAUUUGACCCGUACCUAAAGCCGGAUUAUGUUUGCAACGACCUCUUUGUCUUUUAGAAGGCAUACUUGCGCGUAAUUAAGUAGAUAUACUGAAUUUUAAAUGUUUAGGAAAGGUUGGGCCAGCAGCAAGACCACUACACUACCUAAGGGAAUUUUGUUUUGUAAAAAAUGUGGUUGGUGUUGACUGGGCUCGAAAUUGAGCCCAUGAACGAGGAGAAGGGAACAAGAGAGCCUCGUUCAGCUUCGCUUAGGCUAAUACCAGGGUCAGCUGCUAAAAGACAAGCCUUUAAUGUUAAAACCUAUUUUAACAGAAAGAACUUAACAGAUAAAAAAAUUUGCUGAAGAUAUCAGGGCUCAAAAUUGAGCUCAACAGUGAAAGAAAUUAAGAGCGUGGUUACAUGGGGGCUUGGUUUUAACCAGGCUGCCUCAUAUAGGCUAGCACCGGGGCCAAUCAUUUUACCCAAGUAGCCUUUAAUAUCAUGGCCUUAAUUAGGCCAACAUGAUGUUAGUAUCAACAACAAUAAGUCGAUUCCUAAACUCAUUCAUGAAUUACCUUAGACCUCAAGAUGCCAUCAAUCUAAAAACAUUAAACUUUGAGGUUAAUAAGCUGAGAAUACUCAACAAUUCAAACAUAUCUCCUUCGGAGACAUACAGUAUACACUCCACUUGUUUCAACAAAGUCCAAAUAAAUUACUACAACUGCUAAGCAUCCCAAACUGUCAAACCAUACAUGAAACUACUAAACUAAUUCAAACCUUCAAAAACCUAAAUACUUUGACUAAAUUAUAGAGUAGAGAAUCAAUUUUAGCAUGCUUAAACAACAGCUUGAAAGAAACUACGAAACAAAAAGAGAAUAGAAGACAUCAAGCAAAGAAGAAGAUCUGAAGUUCUAUUCUAGGACAACAUGUUACAAAUUCAUUUUUGUCAUUUCAAGGCUCACAAAAAUAUCUGGAUACAAAAAAGAAUCAAAGUGAGAGAAUCUCUAAAAAAAAUAACAGAAAUCAGGUAGUAAUUUCAAUGGAAAUCAGCAGCAUACAACAGCACAACUCCAAUAGCUCCAAAGCUUAAACCAUAUUCUGUCUUAGCGGACUAGAAAUCCCAGGAAAUUUAUUGAAUUUCUAUUAUAAAAAACCUAGGAAAUUCAAUUGAGCUUCUAUUUUAAAAAAACCCAUAAAAUUUGAUCUACUCUAAUAAAACAGUAGAGCUGAACCUUUUGGAAUGUUUUAGGAUCUUUUUGAGUAUGAAUAUCUUAAUGGAGUAGUAACUUUUCUUUAUAUAGGGCAUUCAAAGAAUACUCUGACAAGAAAUAGCAUUCAAAGAAUAUUCUGACCUAAAUUCUUUUAAUAGCACAACAUAUUGACAGAGAAUAAUGUAAAUUUGUCAAUUUUUUCAACAUCUUUUAAAAUAAAUUCUUGAUAGCUGGUACAUUUCUAGAACACUUCUCUAAAGUCUGGGCCAUUGUUAUGGACAAAUAGCCUAAGACAAACCCAAGUCAUGGCCAGAUGGCCCAAGACACGCCCAAGAACAAAACAAACAAAAACAACCGCUAAAGAUUACUCCAGCAAAUCAUUUAACUCUUAUGAAAUUAAUUAGCAACUUAAUCAACUAAUAACUAAAUUCAAUCAACCUAGGAGAUACGAAAAAGAGUUGAUAAUUAGUAAUUAACUCGACUAAGCUGAAACUUACGCGAUUGACCAAACAGAAACACUGACAUUAAACUAUCUAAAAACUAAUUCAAACAAGUGAAUACUGAGAACUAAUUUUAAAAAAAAUAAAUCAUAAAACUAGUUUACAACUAAUAAUCCAAACUAAUUCAAACAAGUAAAAUAUUUGAAUUAAUUUAAACAAGUAUACAAUUAAACUAAUUUAAACAAUUAAAUACCUAAACCAAAUUCAAACAAGAAGAUAGUCAAAAAUUAAUUCAAACAACUAAAAGAUAUAAAAAAAAUUAGAAAAUAGAAACAAAAACGGAAACAAAAGAAAAGAUAGAAGAAGGGUACUGGUUCUUAACCGGAAUGAACUAAUGACUGAAGCGACCUAGCGAACAAGGGAGGCGACGACCUUGGCCAGACACCUAUGAUUUGGUCAGGAAGCAGCGACCCUCUAAACAAGCCAAGACUAGUGUUUGGUCAAUUGUUUUUAGCACGAGCAAUUUCUUAUCACAAGUCUCAAGUCAGAUCGAUCCUUGGAAGCAAGAAAUCAUAAUUAGGGCGGAUUAGGGUUUUCUGUAAAAUUUUAGAUCCGAAUUUUUGAGAGUUUGUAGGGUUAUUUUGAGGAAUCAACAUGGGAUUUAGGUUUAGGGGAAUGUGGAGGUUAUAGGGUGAAGAUUUUGAGGUGUUUGGAGACCGGCUGCCGCCAUAAAAUGAUUUUAGGUGGGCGGCGGCUAGGGUUUAUGCCAUGUGAAAUGGGGUGCAUUUUAGGGUGGCUAGGGUUAGGCUUUAGAUCAAAGACGGGGAAAUGGN